GCCAGUAGUGGCUCGGCUUCCUCUGGCUUCAACGAGUUGGUGAUUUCCUUUUCUGCCGUCUUCAAAUCGUCCGACUUGAGCUGAUCCAAAGGAAUCUGCUCAAACUGAGAGAUGUUAAGUUUCAGUGAGAGAAUCAGUUGUUCCUUGUCG
ensembl:ncRNA ZK973.12 ncRNA